CUGGGAUGAUGCAAAUUAGCCAAAUCAUACGGCGAUAUGCUCCAAGAGGCAUUUUCUCCUAACCUUUGUUCUUACUAGGGAGGCGGGUGUCUCUCUUCUAUGGACUUGAUAAGGCUUUGGAAAUUUGCCUUUUGUUGAAGUGUAUCCUCUCUGAUGAUAAAACCGAGAUUGGGUGCUGGCUGACCAGA